rnacentral:rRNA from 1 species
UACAGAGGUCUCAAGCGUUUGUUCGGAUUCAUUGGGCGUAAAGGGUGCGUAGGCGGCGCGGUAAGUCGGGGUGUGAAAUCUCGGAGCUUAACUCCGAAACUGCAUUCGAUACUGCCGUGCUUGAGGACUGGAGAGGAGACUGGAAUUUACGGUGUAGCGGUGAAAUGCGUAGAUAUCGUAAGGAAGACCAGUGGCGAAGGCGGGUCUCUGGACAGUUCCUGACGCUGAGGCACGAAGGCCAGGGGAGCAAACGGG